AUUGAACGCUGGCGGCAGGCCUAACACAUGCAAGUCGAACGAGUGGCGGACGGGUGAGUAAUGUCUGGGAAACUGCCUGAUGGCGGGGGAUAACUACUGGAAACGGUAGCUAAUACCGCAUACCAUCGGAUGUACCCAUAUGGGAUUAGCUAGUAGGUGGGGUAAUGGCUCACCUAGGCGACGAUCCCUAGCUGGUCUGAGAGGAUGACCAGCCACACUGGGACGGAGACACGGCCCAGACUCCUACGGGAGGCAGCAGUGGGGAAUAUUGCACAAUGGGCGCAAGCCUGAUGCAGCCAUGCCGCGUGUAUGAAGAAGGCCUUCGGGUUGUAAAGUACUUUCAGUGGGGAGGCGUUACCCGCAGAAGAAGCACCGGCUAACUCCGUGCCAGCAGCCGCGGUAAUAC
rnacentral:rRNA from 1 species